rnacentral:rRNA from 1 species
GUUAGGAAUAUUGGACAAUGGGCGCAAGCCUGAUCCAGCCAUGCCGCGUGAGUGAUGAAGGCCUUCGGGUUGUAAAGCUCUUUAGUCCACGAAUAUAAUGACUGUAGUGGAAGAAUAAGCCCCGGCUAACUUCGUGCCAGCAGCCGCGGUAAUACGAAGGGGGCGAGCGUUAUUCGGAAUCACUGGGCGUAAAGCGUGCGUAGGCUGGUUUGUAAGGCAGAAGUGAAAGCCCAGGGCUUAACCCUGGAAUUGCUUUUGAAACUACAAGACUCGAAUUCGGGAGAGGAUAGCGGAAUUGUCAGUGUAGCAGUGAAAUGCGUAGAUAUUGACAGGAACACCAGUGGCGCAAGCGGCUAUCUGGACCGAUAUUGACGCUGAGGCACGAAAGCGUGGGGAGCAAACAGGAUUAGAUACCCGGGUAGUCC